AUUGAACGCUGGCGGCAGGCCUAACACAUGCAAGUCGAGCGGAUGAAGGGAGCUUGCUCCUGGAUUCAGCGGCGGACGGGUGAGUAAUGCCUAGGAAUCUGCCUGGUAGUGGGGGAUAACGUCCGGAAACGGGCGCUAAUACCGCAUACGUCCUGAGGGAGAAAGUGGGGGAUCUUCUGACCUCACGCUAUCAGAUGAGCCUAGGUCGGAUUAGCUAGUUGGUGGGGUAAAGGCCUACCAAGGCGACGAUCCGUAACUGGUCUGAGAGGAUGAUCAGUCACACUGGAACUGAGACACGGUCCAGACUCCUACGGGAGGCAGCAGUGGGGAAUAUUGGACAAUGGGCGAAAGCCUGAUCCAGCCAUGCCGCGUGUGUGAAGAAGGUCUUCGGAUUGUAAAGCACUUUAAGUUGGGAGGAAGGGCAGUAAGUUAAUACCUUGCUGUUUUGACGUUACCAACAGAAUAAGCACCGGCUAACUUCGUG
rnacentral:rRNA from 1 species